GCCAAGUGGCUAACGGCCUUUGGGAAGAGGUGACCCGCCCGGUAUGGCCUUCAGGAGCAGAAAAUCCGCAUCCCGCGCGCGGAAGCCGAGUCCACCGAGCCCGGCACUGCUGGGGCUCUGUGUUCUGCUCCGUGAUCCGCUCGCCGCCAUCUCAGGCUUGCCGCAGCUUCACGUUUCCCAAGGCCUUCUGGGAAUAGUUGCAAGGAAGUAGUUGCUUCCGUAUGGUCUGGGUCUUUCUCGGUCGGUUUGAAAAAGACUGUGUUUUCCUGGGGAGAAGAACGGUUCAUCUGUGCAGAUUUGUCUUUUCCUUUCUGAUAGAAAAAAGAAAAAAAUUUUAAGGUUUUGGGAAGGAAAAAGACCGCCGACUUUAAUUGGAUAUGACUCUAAAAUAUAAGAAACAACGUACCAGAGUCAGGAUGGAGAGCUUUCAAAGAAAAUUGAAUGAGUGUGGGAAUAUCUCAGACUUGUGGCGUAGCCUCAGACCAGCAUCCGCGAGUGCUCUGCGGUAAAAUGGAGCAACGAUCAGCCUUUGGGUUAUAUUUGACCGUUACCUUGGUGCUGCCACUUCCCAAGCCAUUUACAACUCGUGUAAAUUUUUUUGAACGUUUAUCAUAAAAGCGUUGGAUUUAAGAUUUGAAUUCAAAAUGAAAACGGGGUGCGCAGUGCGGGAUAAGAGGGCCAGAGUCCCUGGGGCCGCUCUCAGUCUAAGCGCCUCACUCUCCCGGUCUGUCCUUUUCUUGAACGUCUGGCCCCUGGGUCUGCGUGUGCCCACCACGAGCCUCCUCGUGUUUCUCUCCUCGACCCUUGCACUGUCCCUCAGACUCCCAGCAUAUUUUUACUCUUUCUCUUGUUUAAAAUUAUGGGGUUACUUUGAAAAUGACAUAUACGAUAUCUUUAAAAUAAUGACAUAAGUAAUGCCUCAAGCCAGGGACAUAGUGGGUGCUCAAUAAAUCUAGGAAGGCAAGGCCUUCCUCUGCUUUGGUCAGUGCUGCAUCCUUCCUGUCAAGUAUUGUGACUGGCUCAAAUCCAGUGCUAAAAAAUUUUUUUUUAAGUAAUAAAGAGUAUCCACUACUCCAUGGCAUAUUAAAUAAUAUACUUACAGAUUUUAAGUACAAGAAGUACUUGACAGGUCAUUGCUAACUCUGAAGAUGAAUGGGGCCACUGGCCAAGGAACGUGGACAUUCACUAGAAACCAAGAAUGACUGCUAGCUGAUAGCCUUCAAGGAAUGGGAAAUUCCUAGAGAUUUAUCAGUGCCCACUGUUCAUAACCUGUUUCUAUUUGUCAGAGUCCUGAUGUUGUUUUGCCUGAUACUAGACAACAGCAGCAGAAUUUAGUGAGUCAUAAUGUCAGUUAUUUUUCUAAAUGUUAAUUUGGUUGCACUUUGAAUCUAACAUCUUCUAGGCAACUGGCUUUCAACUGAGGGUUUACAUUGCUUACCUGUGAAGCUUUAUUAUUAUAUAAGUGUGUAGGACCUACUCCAGACUUACUGAAUCUCUCUGCUUGAUAUUGUUGAUAUAUUGUUAUAUAUUCUUAUUACAUGGUUUGGAUAUUCAUGGCAUAUUGUGUCUCAGAAUUAUUAUAUGUUAUGUAUCAAGAUUUUUUUCUCUGUGAAGAUUAUGUUCGUUCACAUUUAUAAUUAGAUGCACAGUUUUCUGUCUUCUUUGAAAAUGCAGUUGAUUGUUAUGUCUUUAGAGAUUUUUGUCUAAAAUUCAUUUUGGAAUGGCUCUGUUAUUCCUUGUCAUUCUUGUUCCAGAAUUCCUUGUUAGUGGCAUUAGUCUUGUUAUAAACUCUCAUCAGAUCUUUCACUUCAAAAAGCCUAGUUAGUAAAAUUUGUUAUUUAGAUUCCAGGCUGAUAGGAUCUAAAGUUGUCUCUGGGGAUUAAUCUCUGCUCUGCCCUUCCUGGUAAAGAGUGGAGGGGGAGCACCUUUGUAAAUGUAUUAUGUCCUUUGUGUGUCCUGCUUUAUAGGCAGAUAGGGAAAGGGCAAUGAGCUUUUCUUGUAUCUGCUUCUUCUCAUUUAUCUUCAGCUCACAAUAAUCCUUAUGCCAAAGUGGCAUUUUUCGGUGGCAUAAUCUGCUACCCUUUAUGACUACCUUUUUUGCUCACAUUCCUUGGGAAAUAGAUGGGGAAGAACUACUCUAGAGAAACUGAGGAAAAUGAAACCAGGUUUCCAUGAAGUAUAAACAGGAUUUCAGGCAUAAUGCAGGACUAUUUCUACUAAAGUGAAAAGACAAUGACUCUUGUGGAACUCCAAUCAUAAUCUUUGAAAUUUCUUUAGAUAAAAGGGAAAAGCCCACUCUGUAGGCCAGUUCUACAUAGUGUACACUUUAGGUGUAAAAUACAAUGUCACUUAAGAUUCAAAAAAGUGAUAAUCUACUUGUGAUUUAUUUUCUCAAAAUGUCAUUGAGCUCCCGUUUUCCCUCUUGCCCUCAGUAGGUUCUACUGAUGCACAAACAAAUACGGUUCUUCAGGCUGUACAAAACCAAAAUGAUGAGAGUCUAAAAUUGACAUUGCUGUCUUACUUGUUCUCAAAAAUAAAAAUGUCUGA